rnacentral:rRNA from 2 species
UACGUAGGGUGCGAGCAUUAAUCGGAUUUAUUGGGCGUAAAGGGCGCGUAGGCGGGGAUGUAAGUCAGACGUGAAAUCCCGGGGCUCAACCCCGGAACAGCAUUUGAAACUGCAUCUCUAGAGGGUAGGCGGAGAAAACGGAAUUCCACAAGUAGCGGUGAAAUGCGUAGAUAUGUGGAAGAACACCAGUGGCGAAGGCGGUUUUCUAGCUUAUACCUGACGCUAAGGCGCGAAAGCAAGGGGAGCAAACAGG